rnacentral:rRNA from 1 species
AACGAACGCUGGCGGCAUGCUUAACACAUGCAAGUCGAACGAGACCUUCGGGUCUAGUGGCGCACGGGUGCGUAACGCGUGGGAAUCUGCCCUUAGGUACGGAAUAACUCAGAGAAAUUUGUGCUAAUACCGUAUGAUGUCGAAAGACCAAAGAUUUAUCGCCUAAGGAUGAGCCCGCGUAAGAUUAGCUUGUUGGUGAGGUAAAAGCUCACCAAGGCGACGAUCUUUAGCUGGUCUGAGAGGAUGAUCAGCCACACUGGGGCUGAGACACGGCCCAGACUCCUACGGGAGGCAGCAGUGGGGAAUAUUGGACAAUGGGCGAAAGCCUGAUCCAGCAAUGCCGCGUGAGUGAUGAAGGCCUUAGGGUUGUAAAGCUCUUUUACCAGGGAUGAUAAUGACAGUACCUGGAGAAUAAGCUCCGGCUAACUCCGUGCCAGCAGCCGCAGUAA